CUGACUUUUUUGGGGAAUAGAUGGGUGGGGAGCAUUAACAAUGUUUCUCACUCCCUACCCCUCCACUCCCCAAAAAAGUCAG
rnacentral:miRNA from 1 species